rnacentral:rRNA from 1 species
UACGGAGGGAGCUAGCGUUGUUCGGAAUUACUGGGCGUAAAGCGCGCGUAGGCGGCUUUGUAAGUUAGAGGUGAAAGCCCGGGGCUCAACCCCGGAACUGCCUUUAAGACUGCAUCGCUUGAAUCCGGGAGAGGUGAGUGGAAUUCCGAGUGUAGAGGUGAAAUUCGUAGAUAUUCGGAAGAACACCAGUGGCGAAAGGCGGCUCACUGGACCGGUAUU